CCUGGCAGGGUGGUGCACACCUGUAGUUCCAGUUACUUGGGAGGUUGAGGUGGGAGGGUCACUUGGGCCCAGGAAUUCUGGGCUUUAGUGUACUAUGCUGAUCCAGUGCCUGCACUAAGUUCUGUAUCAAUAUGGUAACCUCAGGGGAUGGGUGACCAGCAAGUUGCCUAAGGAGGGGCAAACUGGCCCAGGUUGGUAAAGAAACAGGCCAAAACUCCCAAGCUCAUCAAUAUUGAGCUGUGAAUAGCCACUGCACACCAGCUGAGCAAUAUCACUGUCUCU
rnacentral:SRP_RNA from 1 species